AGAGUUUGAUCAUGGCUCAGGAUGAACGCUAGCUACAGGCUUAACACAUGCAAGUCGAGGGGAAACGAAGAGGUAGCAAUACCUUUGUCGGCGACCGGCGCACGGGUGAGUAACACGUAUGCAAUCCACCUGUAACAGGGGGAUAACCCGGAGAAAUCCGGACUAAUACCCCAUAAUAUGGGCGCUCCGCAUGGAGAGCCCAUUAAAGAGAGCAAUUUUGGUUACAGACGAGCAUGCGCUCCAUUAGCCAGUUGGCGGGGUAACGGCCCACCAAAGCGACGAUGGAUAGGGGUUCUGAGAGGAAGGUCCCCCACAUUGGAACUGAGACACGGUCCAAACUCCUACGGGAAGCAGCA
rnacentral:rRNA from 1 species